rnacentral:rRNA from 1 species
CACGUAGGGGGCGAGCGUUGUUCGGAAUCAUUGGGCGUAAAGGGUGCGCAGGCGGCUUCUCAAGUCCGGUGUGAAAUACCCCAGCUCAACUGGGGGGACGCGCUGGAAACUGGGGGGCUAGAGUACAGGAGGGGGAGUUGGAAUUCCAGGUGUAGGGGUGAAAUCUGUAGAUAUCUGGAAGAACACCGGUGGCGAAGGCGAACUCCUGGCCAUGUACUGACGCUGAGGCACGAAGGCGUGGGGAG